GUUGGCGUCCGACCGCACCGGAACCCACUCACACCGGCACUGCCCACCAACGUCGGAAAACAAAGAGAGAAUAACUCUCUCGCUCCCUCAACACUGGACUCAAGGAUCACCGCUUCGCUUAUCCCUACGAAGGGCAAAAGAUUACCCCGUGGUAUCAAUAGGGUAAAACACUUGAGCACCGCAGUGGAUUAUCAAACCAAAGGAAGAAGAAAUAGGAAGA
rnacentral:lncRNA from 1 species